UACGUAGGGCGCAAGCGUUAUCCGGAAUUAUUGGGCGUAAAGAGCUCGUAGGCGGUUUGUCGCGUCUGCCGUGAAAGUCCGGGGCUCAACUCCGGAUCUGCGGUGGGUACGGGCAGACUAGAGUGAUGUAGGGGAGACUGGAAUUCCUGGUGUAGCGGUGAAAUGCGCAGAUAUCAGGAGGAACACCGAUGGCGAAGGCAGGUCUCUGGGCAUUAACUGACGCUGAGGCACGAAAGCUGGGGGAGCAAACAGG
rnacentral:rRNA from 1 species